AUUGAACGCUGGCGGCAGGCCUAACACAUGCAAGUCGAGCGGCAGCGGGACCUUCGGGUUGCCGGCGAGCGGCGGACGGGUGAGUAAUGCCUAGGAAUCUGCCUGUUAGUGGGGGAUAACGCGGGGAAACUCGCGCUAAUACCGCAUACGUCCUACGGGAGAAAGUGGGGGACCUUCGGGCCUCACGCUAACAGAUGAGCCUAGAUCGGAUUAGCUAGUUGGUGGGGUAACGGCCCACCAAGGCGACGAUCCGUAACUGGUCUGAGAGGAUGAUCAGUCACACUGGAACUGAGACACGGUCCAGACUCCUACGGGAGGCAGCAGUGGGGAAUAUUGGACAAUGGGCGAAAGCCUGAUCCAGCCAUGCCGCGUGUGUGAAGAAGGUCUUCGGAUUGUAAAGCACUUUAAGCCGGGAGGAAGGGCUGUAGGCGAAUACCCUGCAGUCUUGACGUUACCGGCAGAAUAAGCACCGGCUAACUUCGUGCCAGCAGCCGCCGUAAAAC
rnacentral:rRNA from 1 species